rnacentral:piRNA from 1 species
UCUAAGGGAUACAGUGCGUGGU